AUAUAGAGACAUUCCAUAAGUUCUGGGACUCUAGAGAACCCUGACUAAUACAUUGUCCUUAACAAUCUGACCACAUAAGCUUCACUGUCAACUAUGAUAUAUCCCUUUCAAAAUAAAAGGCUGACUGCCAAGUUCACUUCUGUAACAUCUUGGUUGCUUAUUCACCUAGUUAGUGGUUUUAGAGUAUAAAAUGAAAAUACAAGCUGGAUCUGGGACAGAGGCCUUUUAGGAGUUACCCUGGCUUUCUUUGGACCACUGAUGAAUCUGUUCUUCCACUCUCAUUGGUAUUGGAGUGGUUGUUCCAAAAACACUGAGAAAACCAGCAACUCAGAAAUGGACCAAUCAUUGGCUAUGCCAUUUCCAGGAAGAAGUUCCUGCAAUCAGCAGAGCAAGGGCAGCUUGGGUAAGCCCAGAGAAGUCACCCAAACUCACGGCAAGGUCUUCACCAUGAUGCAGACAGAGCACUGGGGUUCACAGUAAAACACAUCAGAUGCAGACCACAUUGGUGUCUGAGAGACCAUGCUGUGACACAUGAUGAUGCUGGAGGCCAUGUUAUUGACAGAAACCACGUGGAAGUCCUUGAUCUGUGCUCCCACUGACUGUAAAGGGCAAGGAAGCUACUUUUGCUGUUGUAUCGAUGACUGUAGACUCACAGUUGAGAAUAAAGGACAUAGAAAGCUUCUGUGACAAUCUCUACCCUGACCCUGCCCCCUAAAAAGUAACAGCCAAGACAGGAAACCAUCAAAGAGAUUUCUUAAAAAUUGUGAUAAAGAUGCUGAAGUGUAACUCUGCACAAUUGAUGAAUUGAUGGCUUCUGGUGGGGCGUGUGGGUGAGGAAGGACUCAGUUUUAAGGGGCUGGCCACUGGGAGUGUGACCAUGGCCUUUAACUUAUGUUUUGGUUGUUGGUGGGG